AAGAUGGCGGAGUCACUGAGCUUCAUUCACUUUGGUGCAGCGACCAAAAGCCCGCUCGCCAAAUCUAGAGAACCGAAACUAGCGUCGGACACCCGGCCGCAGUCUUCCCGGGACAUUCACCCGCCGCCGCCCAAGCGAGUCCGAAACGAUGAGAAGAGCCUUAAACCUAAUAAACUAAAUGGGGAAGGAGGUGGCGGCGCAGUGGAGAAGCAGCACCAGAAGCAGAGUUCAGGCAACCCGAUAACAUGGACCUUCAGCCCCGUCAAGGCGAGCAGCAACCCCUCGGCGCCCCUCCAGCCUCCCAUUCACACAGUGUUCAAGCAGAGCGCUUUCCUCGCCUCCCAUACCAAACCACCAUCCAAAAGCCCAAGGAAAAACGAGAGAAAGAGAAGGAUUUCAAGGAAAAGAAGAAACAUAAACCAGUCCCUGGUACUCCUGGAAAUAUUAGCAGCAGUCUGAGUAACGUCACUACUGUAAUGAAGAAGGAGAACGGGGAGAUGAAGUUGGUACAAAAAGACCACACCAGUAAGGACAAGACGAAGAAGAAGAAGAAACACAAAGUGAUGAAUGAGAUCAAGAGGGAGAACGGAGAGGUGAAGCUCCUUCAGAAAGCCCACUGUGAGCCAGCCUUAGCUAUUCAUAUCUGAUGUUGUCCUAUAUAUCUGUGAUAGAGACUGGCCUAAGUGCUGCCAAAUGAUUCAUAGUUGUGUAAUAGCAAUAAUG
rnacentral:lncRNA from 1 species